AGGCUUACACAUGCAGUCGAGGGGUAACAGAUCUUCGGAUGCUGACGACCGGCGAACGGGUGAGUAACACGUAUGCAACUUACCCAUAACUCGGGAAUAGCCCAAAGAAAUUUGGAUUAAUACCCAAUAAUACAGGCGUACCGCAUGGUAUUCUUCGUUAAAGAAUAAUCGGUUAUGGAUAGGCAUGCGUUCUAUUAGGUAGUUGGUGAGGUAACGGCUCACCAAGCCGACGAUGGAUAGGGGAACUGAGAGGUUGUCCCCCCACACUGGUACUGAGACACGGACCAGACUCCUACGGGAGGCAGCAGUGAGGAAUAUUGGUCAAUGGACGAAAGUCUGAACCAGCCAAAUCGCGUGAAGGAAGAAGGUAUUAUGUAUCGUAAACUUCUUUUGUAAGAGAGUAAAGUGCACUACGUGUAGUGUAUUGCAAGUACCUUACGAAUAAGCAUCGGCUAAUUCCGUGCCAGCAGCCGCGGUAAUACGGAAGAUGCAAGUGUUAUCCGGAUUUAUUGGGUUUAAAGGGUGCGUAGGUGGUCUAAUAAGUCAGUGGUGAAAUCUCUUUGCUUAACAAGGAAAUUGCCAUUGAAACUGUUAGACUUGAGAAUGGACGAGGUAGGCGGAAUUCGUAGUGUAGCGGUGAAAUGCAUAGAUAUUACGAAGAACUCCAAUAGUGUAGACUGCUUACCAGACCAUAUCUGACACUAAGGCACGAAAGUGUGGGUAUCAAACAGGAUUAGAUACCCUGGUAGUCCACACAGUAAACGAUGAAUACUAACUGUUUGCGAUAUACAGCAAGUGGUCGAGCGAAAGCGUUAAGUAUUCCACCUGGGAAGUAUGCCGGCAACGGUGAAACUCAAGGAAUUGACGGGGCCCGCACAAGCGGAGAACAUGUGGUUUAUUCGAUAUACGCGAGGAACCUUACC
rnacentral:rRNA from 1 species